UGCCAGCCGCCGCGGUAAUACGUAGGUGGCAAGCGUUAUCCGGAAUUACUGGGCGUAAAGCGCACGCAGGCGGCUAGCCAAGUCUGGCGUGAAAACUCCUGGCUUAACUGGGAGAGGUCGUUGGAAACUAGUUGGCUUGAGGCAAUGAGAGGGGUGCGGAAUUCCAGGUGUAGUGGUGGAAUGCGUAGAUAUCUGGAGGAACACCAGUGGCGAAAGCGGCACCCUGGCAUUGGCCUGACGCUCAUGUGCGAAAGCGUGGGUAGCGAACGGGAUUAGAUA
rnacentral:rRNA from 1 species